AUGGGCAAGAGCGAUCCAUUUCCUCACAAGGAGGGGAAGAGAGCAGGGUCAUACGUGAGCAUGGAUACCAGGAGGAGGAUGAUUGGGGGCCAUCUUAAAGGCUGCUCACCACACUGGGGGAUGAUGCCCUGUGGACUAGGGCACCUUCUAAUUUUCCAGAGUUCCAGGCUGUGCCCAUUGGCCCGGGCUGGGGACUCUCUGAGCCAGAACCAUCAGCUUCCAGAAGGGGGGCAGGCUGUAGACCCAUCAUCAGCCCCAGAUCUGGAUGAAGCCAGGAGUGACCGAGACCCAAGGUGGAAGAGCCCUGCUACGCCUGCAGGGCCCACAUGCGGUUGCUUACAAGAGCUGAACCCCACCACCGGCAGUAGCUUUGGGGAUCUAGGAGGCUCUGAGUUCAAGGACUUGGCCCAGAGGGAAGAGAGGAGACAAGCAGCACCUACAACCCAGAGGCCAUCCACUAGCCUAUGGGGGAGGAAGCUCGCUCAGGGAGCCCCGAGGCCCUCAGGCCUGCCCUCCCAGGGCCUGUCAGAACCCCACGAUCCCCCCGAGGGGCUGAGCUGGAGCCUGGGCCAGGAGAGAGCAGAACUUCAGAAACUGCUGAGGCUAGGGAUUCCUCAGAGGCAGAGAGAGGAGGCUCCUCAAGAGCAGAAAGAGCGCCCCGGGGUUCAGAGGGGGGAGGUCCGCAGGGGGGAGAGCAAGGAAGUUCCUAAGAGACCCACAGAGAAGAUACAGCAGGGCCAGAGGGGGGAGGCUACUCAGGCUCUGAGGGAGGAAGUCUCUGUGGAUCCCAGGGGGCAGGCUCCCGAGGGUGAGAGGAGAGAGUCUCCUCAACGUCAAAGAGGAAACAGCCCUGAGGGGCAGAGAAAAGAGGUCCUCCGGGAGCCGAGGAAGGAGACUCCUCAGGGCCGGGAAGGGAAGAGCCCUCAAACUUCCCCCGGCUGCCUCUCACAAGCCUGGGAGGUGCCUCAGGGAGAGGCGCCUACACAGCCCCCGGCGGAAGGCGGCUCCCUGGGGAUUUCUGGGGAUUUCUGCAGGCCCCUGGGAGAACAGAUGCCGCAGCCUGGGGGAAGAGAGAGCCCUGGCUCCGGGGAAAGGACCACCCAGCUGCCACAGGACGAAACUGAAGGCCAGAGCCGGGCGUCCGCACCGGCCGCAGGAGAGCAGAGGGCCGCCCGGCAGGGGGCGCGGCCUCCCCUUCCACGCCCGAGGCUCCCGGCCGGGCCGCCGCUCCCAGGCCCAGGGGCCGAGCCGCUAGCAGCCCCAGGCACUGGGCGCUCGGGGCAGCGGGAGCAGCCCGCCGCUCUCCCGGGGCGCCCGGGGCUGGUGCGUGAGCCGCACGGGCUUCAGGACCCGGAAGGAAGCCCGGGCCCGGCGGAGCAGGUGCCCGGCGGCUCCGCUAGGCUCCCGGGCACCGUCGGGGGGCGGAGGGGCGGCGCCGAGGCCCCCGAGGCCCCAAAGGCCGCGUGGCCCGGGCUCCCGGGCGGGGAGCAGGCGUCGGCGGGCGUGAGCGCGGCGCAGCAGGAGACGGCUCUGCAGCG
rnacentral:lncRNA from 1 species